rnacentral:tRNA from 1 species
CAUUUUUGAGAAACUUAAAGCAAAUACUAUAAGUAUUACAUGACUUAAAAAUCCUCAAAACC